AUUAUUGAUGUUUUUUUUAAUGAUUAGAUUGAAGUAUGUGGUGAUAAAUAUAUAAUAUUCUUCAUAUCUUGUAAUCAUCAACAUGACAGUUGUCAUUCUGACAGAGAAAAACUUUUCUUCAUUCUAUCAAACCAAAUUUCAUCAAUAUAUUAUAUUGUUUUAUAUUCUAAUGUAUUAUCAGUAAUAAUAAUUAAUGUGAAAUUAUUCUGAUCUUAUUUUGAAAUGUAGAAUUUGCAGAUACGUCAUUGUGUGUGUUCCUCAUAGAACCUCUGAUGACAUGAGCUGAUCCUUGUGUUUGAUAUGAAGGUGAACACAGUACAUGUGGUGAACUUUGUGCUGUAUUGAUGAGCAGUUUAGUGAUCAGAGUCCAUGUAGUUUCCAGGAUCAGACUGAAUGCAGUGCAGUGCUGGAAGCUGCUGUUGACUGUGUGAAUGUGUGUCUGUGGCGCUCGUGGCUGCCGUCAAACUCCAGAUGAGCCGGUAGCGAAGCCCGUGGCGAGCGUGUACCCGGCGGCGCCCAGAGCCCGCCUGGAGGGCCGGAGCGCCCUGCUGUGUCUGGCCUCGGCCAUGUUUCCCCCUGUGGUCCGGUUCUCCUGGAAAAGACGAAAGGAGAACGGUCCUCUGGAGGAGCCGCCCCCCGCUGAGACAGAGCAGCUGGAGCUCAGAGAGUCGGGACGCGCCGCCGCCAUCUUGCUGAUCCAUCAGCCAGAGAGGAGCACAUAUAAUUACAGCUGCUACGUCCAGCACGAGGGGGGCAAAGCGGAGGCCCCACCAGGACCAGGUAAUGAAGGCUCGAGGCUCCAGCUCCAGCAGCUUCCCGUCCUCCAGAGAGAGAGCCGACAGACCUGCCGGCUGUGCAGCAAGCUGACUUGUCAGUGUCAGUGUCCUUCCAGUCUCAGUGCAGGGUGAAGCUGCUCUUGCUGCUGUACUCAGUGCUGAUAGUGAAGAGUCUGGUGUACUGCUGUGGACUCUCUCUGCUGAUGAUCCUCAGAAACAAGGGACCGUCCACCAAC